rnacentral:rRNA from 1 species
AUACGGAGGAUGCGAGCGUUAUCCGGAUUUAUUGGGUUUAAAGGGAGCGUAGGCGGGAGCUUAAGUCAGCGGUUAAAUGGUGCGGCUCAACCGUGCCCUGCCGUUGAAACUGGGUUUCUUGAGAGUGCAAGAGGCGGAUGGAAUUCAUGGUGUAGCGGUGAAAUGCUUAGAUAUCAUGAAGAACUCCGAUUGCGAAGGCAGUCCGCUGGGGCACGUCUGACGCUGAUGCUCGAAGGUGCGGGAAUCAAACAGGAUUAGAUACCCUGGUAGUCCGCACGGUAAACGAUGAUUACCCGCUGUCGGCGGUAGACAGUCGGCGGCCAAGCGAAAGCGAUAAGUAAUCCACCUGGGGAGUACGCCGGCAACGGUGAAACUCAAAGGA